ACACACUCAAGGAAUAAGAACAAGAGCUCUCUCUCAAGUUUAGUUAGUGUUCUAGUGCUAAUGCUAGUGGAAUAGAAUUAGAAUAGUUUUCAUAGUCCUCGAGUCUUCAGGAGAAUACAGGAAUUCUUAUGUGCUGGCCAUCGUCAUAUAUAUAUCAAGAGAUGGAAUUAAUACCCUCUGUUUAUUGUUAGCUCCUUGUUCGUAAGGAAACAAAGUUAUUGCACCAAUCACUUCUUGCGAAGAAUAACAUUCUAUUCCAACGUUGAAUCAUUCUUUCACGUCAAGUCAUGCACUAACUUUAUGAAGAGAAAAAUAGCAA